rnacentral:lncRNA from 1 species
CUUACAUAGAAAAGCUUUGUUUACAAGCUAUUUUAAAAUAACCUUUUGGCAGGUAGGCAAGACUGACUGGCAAGGGUGCACUCAAGACAUUGUGUCUUGUGGAGUGGUCCCCAAAGAAUUCCUGACAGAGGCACCUGACAGCACAAAUUAGCUCUUCAGUGUAUAAGCACAAAGCACCAAAAAGGCUGAGAUUUCUUCCUAGCUACAUGCUCUCUCCCGCUAUUGUUUAUUACACUCCACCCGCUCCAUGGUGAAGCUGACAAAGGAGAUACUAUUAAUUUCCUUUCCCACUGAAUAAUCCCCUCUGUAAUUUCUACAACAAAAGGUAAAUAGGACAAUCAUCUUCGAAAAUGAAUUAGGCCAGAUUGGUAGUACCCAAAAGGAGAAUUAAUGACCAUUGUCAUAAACUCUGAAAAGCUGUUGGCGCUACUGAUAAUCUAGAUAAUUAAGCAAAAAUUUGAAAA